CUCCAAAUUGAAAACAACCGAAGGUUGACGCUGUUCUCAAUCUCGAUAAAGUAUUUUUGGUUAGGUUAAUAGCUGUAUAGAAGAUAUUUAACAUGAUUUCAGUUAUAUAAUUGUACGUUUAUUAACAUGGAUGUUGCUGGAGAUUUGACAUUACAAUGGGUAGAGGAGGUGGGAAAUGUGAUCCACGAAGAAGUGAUAUGCGGUUUAGAGGCACAGUUAGUUGGAGCAGAAGAAGAGGUGAUAGGUGCUUGCGAGGAAGUCGCGGUCGAGGAAACAGUGGAAACUGUUCCCGAUGUUGCUCCUACAACAGAGUCAGAAAUAUUAAUGGUACCCCAGUCCAAUGACAUGGAAUCUAUUUACAUAGUGCCACAGGACCAAGGUCAUGAUUAUCUGAAUAUACAGGUUACAGAAGAAGUGAUCGCAGAUAAUUGGGAUAGAUCUGGUCCGGAAGAUGGGGUUGAGAUAUCAGAAACGAAAGUGUCACAUGAAAACUUGUUGGAAUAUGACGACAUGGAAAUACCAUUACCGAUUGAUCAAGAUUCUUAUACAAAUAGUAGACCUUACCCGUGUGACUUUUGUAGCAGGAGGUUCAGGAAAAAAGCAAAUUUAAUGAAUCACAUGGUGGCACAUCAAACAGAUCGCCCUCAUGGUUGUAAUUUAUGUGGAGCACGUUAUGCACGUAAGUGUGAUCUCAUGAAUCAUUUGAAGAUUCAUGCAUACGCGCCAUCUCGAGAUGGUUUGGAAGAUGAUUUAAACGACGACGACUCGUUGGUACCGGAAGAGGAAGAGUCUACUAAGGGUAGACGUAAGAAGGUACAAUCAAGCGUACCAAGAAAACGAAAAAAUCAUUCUGCUAUUUCAAAGCGCAGCAUGGACGAUAAUAAAAUGGAAAUGGGCAAGUAUGUCAAUAAAUCUUACGAUUACGUUGACGAGGAUAUGCGCCUCUUGGAAGAGAUGACCAGUAGAAAUUCUGCGCGUAGUAGUAAUUAUGCAUCAAGCUCAAGAUGGAACGAUCAGAUGUCACCCGUAUCAACUGAACCUCAGGCACCACGGUGGCCUAUAACUGAUCCUACAAAACCAUAUGUAUGUCAGUAUUGCGGCGUUGGUUUUGCAAGGGAAAAGGCGCUCGCGUCUCAUGCUCGUAUCCAUGGUGGUGAUAGCCCGUUUGAAUGUACAACGUGCGGUGAUAUGUUUUGGGACGUUAACAUUCUGAGGGAACAUGUACGCGUGAAGCAUGGUGGUACGGCACAAUCGGAUAUGGAUGAAUAUGAUAACGAUGCUACGUAUACUGGCGAUGAAAGAUUUGGAGAAUUUUAUUGCAAUACAUGCGGUGUUCCUUUUCACCGUUUGGAUUUACUUAAACGUCAUCAAAAGAUUCACGUGAAACAAGAAGCUGAUAUGAUGGAAGGUCCAAGUCAACAUCAUGUUUGCAAUGUUUGUGGUGAAUGGUUUGAAGAGGCUUUAGCAUUAUUAGCACAUGCCGAACUUCAUGCUAGAUCACCCAGUCGUCGAUGCUUAUUAUGCGGUGAAAGGUGUCGUGACGAUGCUGAAGUUGCUGAACAUGUCCGGCAAAAUCAUGCCGAGGACGCUCCACCAAAUACGUGUACUCUUUGCGGCAAAACAUGUAAAGAUAAGCGUAGUUUAUUGAAACACUCGUGGGUUCAUAACGUUGAUAAAACUUUUGGAUGUACAAAAUGUGGCAAACGUUUCCAUAGCAAAGCUAGAUUACGAAGACACAUGGUAUCGCAUCGCAAUAAAAUGGUAGCCUGUGACGAGUGCGGAGAAGAAUUUCCUGAUGGUAGAGCUCUUGUUAGCCAUCGUCAUUCGCAUAAUAAGGAGUUGGGCGGUCGUUCUUUUCCAUGUCGAGAAUGCGGGAAAACAUUCGGCAGUCGUAGUUCACAGCAAAUUCAUAUCCGUAUUCACACUGGAGAAAGGCCGUACGGUUGUAGAUUUUGUUGGAAAGCGUUUGCCGAUGGUGGAACCUUACGGAAGCACGAACGCAUUCAUACAGGCGAGAAACCAUACGGAUGCGCAAUUUGUCCAAGAGCUUUUAAUCAAAGAGUCGUUCUCAGAGAACACGUACGUGCUCACCAUUCAGGACCAGAUCCAAAAUGCGUAGGUAGCAUUACACCGUACUUAUGUAAAGUAUGCGGAGAUGCGUAUGGAACAUCGGAAGAAAUAGUUGCUCACAUAGUGCAGCAUUGUGAUGAUAAUACCGCGUUAAGACGACAACCGCAAACUGGACCACGUAAAUAUAAAAGAAGACGUAAACUUAAACCUCAUGAAACCAAUACGAUGUUGCGUAUGAACGAACAAUACGACAUGAUGGAGGCUGGUUCCGAUUCGGAUGACAAUACCAAAAGAAAACUUGGAAGGAAAAAUAAACAACACCGAUCGAACAUCGAGGAAGGAUAUCAAAAUGUUCUUAAGAGCUUCGAGAGCUCUUUACAAAACAUCAAUUCGAUUGUUAGUAACUCGAAAUUGAAUCCAGGAAAAUCUAAGCUCUCUAAGAAGAAGCUUAGAAAAGAAGAGAAGAAGAGUGAAUCGCAAGCCUCGUGUCAUCCGGGUAGACCAAAAAUGAUUCACACCCAAAAAACGAGAGUGCCCGUAGAGAUCGGUAGCGAUGGAGUUAAAAGAGGACAAAAAACUAAAACUAUGGUGACAAGGACACCUAAAAUGAUGCCACAAGAACAUAAAUUAGGAAUUUUUCCGGGUGGUGAAAGAAACAGGCCGAGAACGAAGAAUGUUAGUUAUCAUAUCGAAGGGAAAUUUCAACCAUCAGCCGCAACAUUCCCGAAACCAAAGGACGAAAUUCCGAGAACACCAACACCGACGCUUCAGCAGUUACCGAUAACGCAUAUAAAACUGGAACCUAAUUUGCAGAAAACUCCGAAUAAUAAUCAUAGAAAUAAUAAUGGUAAUAUUCUUGGCAUGAACAAUGAAAAGAUGGAAUCGUCGGGUAGAAAAAAAUCAGGUGUAUUGAAGAAAAUUAAAAAGCAAAAAGAUGGGAUUAAACAAGAGCCAAUGGAUAUUGACCAAGAUGAAAUACAAAAUAAUAAUAAUACUGAAAGUACCAGCCCCGAAAGGUUAAUGGAACAUACAGUGGAUGGAAACAAUUUAGAAGUUGCAUUUGAAGCAAGUGUCACAACGGAGGAAGAAAAUAUUCUUCCCGACGUAGGGGAAGUAAAUAAUGCCGAGGAUGUUGGGACUGGGAAUGUAAAACUUAGUGUCAAAGUUGAAUCAACACCUCAACGAAUGUUGGCUGUCCAUAGUGUUAUAGCGCCGGUGGAUGAUAUUCCAGAAACUAUAAUACCAGAUGCUGUUGAAUAUACAUGUGAAAUGUGUUCUGCGGUAUUUUCUAGCAGAGCAGAAUUGUUGGUUCAUGUUCCGAUACACAUUUGAUUUAAUUUGUUCGAUGAAAUUAAAAAAGGUAUGCGAAUUAAUUCUAAUCUAAGAAUACUUGUUUAAUCAAGCCAAGAGUUUUAACAUGAUCAAUGAAAGUUUUCUGUUUAUUUGAAUUGGCAUUAUCUUACCAUGCCAAAAUGUCCUCUACUCGUUGCUCUAUGAAGUGCACAAGUUUUUUGUGUUUAACGUAUUUUAAAAGUUGAUGCUGUUUUUAAUUUACCACAGCAUUCUAAGAUAAACAAGCUGAUUUGAAACAAAUUCAAUAAGUAAGUUGACAAACGAAGAAGCCUCUUUUUUUUUCUCUUUUUUUUUCUUCUUCCAAGGAAGAUACUUUUCUGGAAAGAGUACGUUUUAAAAUUAGCAAUUAAUGGUUGCAUUCUUGGAAUAGCAUCAUGUUUUGUAUGUUAUGUACAUACUUAAGGAAUAACUGUUUCUUUUAGCGAUAUGUGUAAUUAUAUUACCAUUAAAGUAGCAAGGAAGUAACUUGAAACCUUUUAAAAAUAUUUAGUGUAAAUCAUUAUGAAUCAGACUUUGUACAGUCUCAAAACUGUGGUAUAGAAUAUUUAAGGAAAAAGAAACUAUUAUAAGACCAAUGUAAAGUAACAGUUUCUUAGAUAAAAAUAAAAAGAAUACGUAAAUAUAUAUAUAUUAUAUAUAUAUAUUUGCAUAAGACAUAUUAAAAAAUUGAUUCAUCAGAAAUCUAUAAGUUAUGUAUAAUAACAUGGUUUUUAAUUCAAUGUUACAUACAUUUACAUUCCCGUAUAACGGUAGCUUUAACAUUGUUUAAGCGUAAUUGAAAAGUUUCAAAAACUUCUUUAAAUAACGCGUGCAUAGAGCAGCCAGUGCAGGUGGCAAUAAUUGCGACAGGUGCAAAGUCAAAAUAAUUUUGAAAACAAAAUCCAAGAAAAUUUAAGAAAAAUUGUAAGUAGGAACAUGUACACAGUUGUUUCAUUUUUUUUUUUUUUUCUAUUAUCUGCAAGAAAAUUCAUUGCAUGUAAGUAUCCGUGGCUUUCUUUUUUAUAGCUAAGUAAAUUAAAAUAAUUAACGUAGAAUAUAAUACUAUGUUGCAUGAGAAUGUUUGAAACAUUUUGAGAAGAAUUAAUUCUUAUACGUAUUACUUCAGUCGUAAGUUAAAGUUUAAGAACAUGUAUAGAUUAAUGAGCAUUAAAAUUAGUAUCUCCUUAAUAGAAUUGUUUGUAUCUUUCAGGGAUAAAGUAGUUAAAAAACAAAAAAAACUGUACAUAUUAUUGUCUUGGAUAUGGUACGGUGAUUUAUUGUUAACUGUAGACAUAUUUUUUUUAAUAAAUUGUCAAUAAUUAUAAAAAAUACAAUUAUGUCCGCACAAAGUCACGGAUAAUACAAAGUACAUAUAAUAAUAAUAUAUG